rnacentral:rRNA from 1 species
CAGUAGCCGCGGUAAUACGUAGGGUGCAAGCGUUAAUCGGAAUUACUGGGCGUAAAGCGUGCGCAGGCGGUUCGCUAAGACAGAUGUGAAAUCCCCGGGCUUAACCUGGGAACUGCAUUUGUGACUGGCGGGCUAGAGUAUGGCAGAGGGGGGUAGAAUUCCACGUGUAGCAGUGAAAUGCGUAGGGAUGUGGAGGAAUACCAAUGGCGAAGGCAGCCCCCUGGGCCAAUACUGACGCUCAUGCACGAAAGCGUGGGGAGCGAACAGGAUUAGAUACCCCUGUAGUCCCUGUCUCUUAUAC